GAAUGGGGUUUCCUAAGCAGUCCUGCAGGGGUUUUCGUCCACAUGUCAGUGUUGGACAUACCGGGACAGCUCUCCUGUUUUCUUCAAGAGAACCUGAAGUCAUAAAGGAUGGACUAAAUAUUUGGAAUUAUACCAUGACUCAAAAAGACUCAUGAAGGAAGGAUUUAUUUGGUGAACCUAAUAAACUGACAACUGUCUGUUGUCCUGUGAAGCUGGUGCUGCUCCGUGGCAGGCUCACUGGGAAAGGUGUACUGAGGUUCCACCAACCACAACCCUCUCUCGUGUGCUAGAUAGUUAUCCUGUGUGUGUGCGUUCUGCGGUUUUCUGAGCUGAAGUCAACAAGAUCUGUUGAGCCAUAGACUACGACAUGGAAGAGGAGCUCACUGGCCCUGUGUAGCAUUGAAAUCACACCUUACAUUGCCAGACUGUAAGAAGACAUCAACCUUUUUCUGUGAGUAAUGCUAAUUUGGAGAAACUUGGACUGAGCACAUUUUUUUCACUCACCUGGGACAUAAUUAAAAAAUCAACAGACUGUGCAUUGCCCUGAAAUUGCUGAAAAUGAAACCUUUGCCUUUGACACUUAUAUCAUUGACCAGCCAUCAAAUGACUUUAAUGAGGUAAAGGAAAAAAGUGGUUCAAUUAACACUGGUGGGGAAGAGUAUGUAGAAGCUGAGACUCUGGAACAUAAAAUUGCAUCUCUUUUUGAUGGUGAUGAAUGUUGAAAUUGGUCAUCAGAUGUACAUGUACACUAUUUUAAAUGCUUGUUUUAAAAGUUUACACUGGAGUUGCAUGAUUCCAUCUUGAAUGAUACAGUCAUGUGUUUCUUUAAUGUUUGUUGAAAAUAAACAUGGAAAUUGAAGCGG